rnacentral:rRNA from 1 species
UGGGACGUAAGUGAACCUCGAUGCGCCCUGUCGAUCUCAGCACCCUCGCCCGGAAAGUGGCCACCGGGUGAGUAACACGUGAGUAACCUGCCCCUGACUCUGGGAUAAGCGUUGGAAACGACGUCUAAUACUGGAUAUGAUCACUGGCCGCAUGGUCUGGUGGUGGAAAGAUUUUUUGGUUGGGGAUGGACUCGCGGCCUAUCAGCUUGUUGGUGAGGUAAUGGCUCACCAAGGCGACGACGGGUAGCCGGCCUGAGAGGGUGACCGGCCACACUGGGACUGAGACACGGCCCAGACUCCUACGGGAGGCAGCAGUGGGGAAUAUUGCACAAUGGGCGAAAGCCUGAUGCAGCAACGCCGCGUGAGGGAUGACGGCCUUCGGGUUGUAAACCUCUUUUAGUAGGGAAGAAGCGAAAGUGACGGUACCUGCAGAAAAAGCACCGGCUAACUACGUGCCAGCAGCCGCGGUAAUACGUAGGGUGCAAGCGUUGUCCGGAAUUAUUGGGCGUAAAGAGCUCGUAGGCGGUUUGUCGCGUCUGCUGUGAAAUCCCGAGGCUCAACCUCGGGCUUGCAGUGGGUACGGGCAGACUAGAGUGCGGUAGGGGAGAUUGGAAUUCCUGGUGUAGCGGUGGAAUGCGCAGAUAUCAGGAGGAACACCGAUGGCGAAGGCAGAUCUCUGGGCCGUAACUGACGCUGAGGAGCGAAAGCAUGGGGAGCGAACAGGAUUAGAUACCCUGGUAGUCCAUGCCGUAAACGUUGGGCGCUAGAUGUAGGGACCUUUCCACGGUUUCUGUGUCGUAGCUAACGCAUUAAGCGCCCCGCCUGGGGAGUACGGCCGCAAGGCUAAAACUCAAAGGAAUUGACGGGGGCCCGCACAAGCGGCGGAGCAUGCGGAUUAAUUCGAUGCAACGCGAAGAACCUUACCAAGGCUUGACAUACACCGGAAACGGCCAGAGAUGGUCGCCCCCUUGUGGUCGGUGUACAGGUGGUGCAUGGUUGUCGUCAGCUCGUGUCGUGAGAUGUUGGGUUAAGUCCCGCAACGAGCGCAACCCUCGUUCUAUGUUGCCAGCGGGUUAUGCCGGGGACUCAUAGGAGACUGCCGGGGUCAACUCGGAGGAAGGUGGGGAUGACGUCAAAUCAUCAUGCCCCUUAUGUCUUGGGCUUCACGCAUGCUACAAUGGCCGGUACAAAGGGCUGCGAUACCGUAAGGUGGAGCGAAUCCCAAAAAGCCGGUCUCAGUUCGGAUUGAGGUCUGCAACUCGACCUCAUGAAGUCGGAGUCGCUAGUAAUCGCAGAUCAGCAACGCUGCGGUGAAUACGUUCCCGGGCCUUGUACACACCGCCCGUCAAGUCAUGAACGUCGGCCCCGUGGGGUUCCCCUGGCCUCAGCAUGUGGUCGCAGCAUACCGCGAAAGGUUUUAC